GGAGAGGUGGGUGAGUGGCUGAAACCACCGCUUUGCUAAAGCGGCGUGCCCUUAACGGGGUACCGGGGGUUCGAAUCCCCCCCUCUCCG
rnacentral:tRNA from 1 species